rnacentral:tRNA from 1 species
CCAAAUAUAGUUAUAUUAUAAUAUCGCUUUGUUAAUGUGAAGUAUUGGUUUUGGC